GCAGUCGAGCGGUAGGCCUUUCGGGGUACACGAGCGGCGAACGGGUGAGUAACACGUGGGUGAUCUGCCCUGCACUUCGGGAUAAGCCUGGGAAACUGGGUCUAAUACCGGAUAUGACCUCCUAUCGCAUGGUGGGUGGUGGAAAGAUUUAUCGGUGCAGGAUGGGCCCGCGGCCUAUCAGCUUGUUGGUGGGGUAAUGGCCUACCAAGGCGACGACGGGUAGCCGACCUGAGAGGGUGACCGGCCACACUGGGACUGAGACACGGCCCAGACUCCUACGGGAGGCAGCAGUGGGGAAUAUUGCACAAUGGGCGAAAGCCUGAUGCAGCGACGCCGCGUGAGGGAUGACGGCCUUCGGGUUGUAAACCUCUUUCAGCAGGGACGAAGCGCAAGUGACGGUACCUGCAGAAGAAGCACCGGCUAACUACGUGCCAGCAGCCGCGGUAAUACGUAGGGUGCAAGCGUUGUCCGGAAUUACUGGGCGUAAAGAGUUCGUAGGCGGUUUGUCGCGUCGUUUGUGAAAACCAGCAGCUCAACUGCUGGCUUGCAGGCGAUACGGGCAGACUUGAGUACUGCAGGGGAGACUGGAAUUCCUGGUGUAGCGGUGAAAUGCGCAGAUAUCAGGAGGAACACCGGUGGCGAAGGCGGGUCUCUGGGCAGUAACUGACGCUGAGGAACGAAAGCGUGGGUAGCGAACAGGAUUAUAUACCCUGGUAGUCCACGCCGUAAACGGUGGGCGCUAGGUGUGGGUUCCUUC
rnacentral:rRNA from 1 species